rnacentral:tRNA from 1 species
GCUAAUGAAGUUUAAAAUUAAGCACCAACCUUGUAAAUUGGAGAUUGGGAUACCAACCCCCAUUAGCAAUG